GCCAGCUUCACCUGAAGGACCUGGUGGACCCUGCAAUGGAAAAUUACAAGCUCAGUGGUAAUAGAGAAUAAAUUAUAUACAUGCAACCAACAUCUGCAGUAUGUUAGCCCCUUUCAAUGGACAGGAAGAGAACCACUAGGACCAGCAGGACCAGGAAGUCCUACAGGACCCUGUACUCCAUCACGGCCAGCUGGACCUUGAGGACCUUUUUCACCCUAGUUUUGAAGAAAAGAAAGUCAUCCACAGUACCACAGGAGACUAAUGAAGAUUUCAGUACAGGGAAUCACAUUACCAAUACUUUUUUUUAAAAAAAAAAGCAACAGAAAGGAAAUUAGAAAAGGAAGAGAAUGUAUCAGAAAAUUAUAGAGCACCCUUCUCCCCUGCGGGGCCUGGAGGACCCUGAGGUCCAGGACGACCUGGUAGACCAAUUGGGCCAGCAGUGCCUGCUGCUCCACGUUCCCCUGG